rnacentral:rRNA from 1 species
UACAGAGGGUGCAAGCGUUAUUCGGAUUUAUUGGGCGUAAAGGGCGUGUAGGCGGUUUGUUAAGUUCGAUGUGAAAGCCCUGGACUUAAUUCAGGAAGUGCAUCGGAUACUGGCAGACUUGAGCGUAGGAGAGGAGAGUGGAAUUCCAGGUGUAGAGGUGAAAUUCGUAGAUAUCUGGAGGAACAACAGUGGCGAAGGCGACUCUCUGGACUACUGCUGACGCUGAGGCGCGAAAGCGUGGGGAGCAAACAGG